rnacentral:rRNA from 1 species
UACGUAGGGUGCAAGCGUUAAUCGGAAUUACUGGGCGUAAAGCGUGCGCAGGCGGUUUGGUAAGACAGAUGUGAAAUCCCCGGGCUUAACCUGGGAAUUGCAUUUGUGACUGCCCGGCUAGAGUGUGUCAGAGGGGGGGUAGAAUUCCACGUGUAGCAGUGAAAUGCGUAGAUAUGUGGAGGAAUACCGAUGGCGAAGGCAGCCCCCUGGGAUAACACUGACGCUCAUGCACGAAAGCGUGGGGAGCAAACAGG